CCUACGGUGUGCAGCAGUGGGGAAUAUUGCACAAUGGGGGAAACCCUGAUGCAGCGACGCCGCGUGAGUGAAGAAGUAUCUCGGUUUGUAAAGCUCUAUCAGCAGGGAAGAAAAUGACGGUACCUGACUAAGAAGCCCCGGCUAACUACGUGCCAGCAGCCGCGGUAAUACGUAGGGGGCAAGCGUUAUCCGGAUUUACUGGGUGUAAAGGGAGCGUAGGCGGAGCUUUAAGUCCGGUGUGAAAGACUAUGGCUCAACUAGAGUGCUGCACUGGAAACUGGGAGGCUAGAGUGCAGGAGAGGAGAACGGAAUUCCUAGUGUAGCGGUGAAAUGCGUAGAUAUUAGGAAGAACACCAGCGGCGAAGGCGAUCUGCUGGACCGUAACUGACGUUGAGGCUCGAAAGCGUGGGGAGCAAACAGGAUUAGAUACCCUAGUAGUC
rnacentral:rRNA from 1 species